rnacentral:siRNA from 1 species
UUGAAGCCUUCCAUACUUAUAGGC